AUGGAAGGCACAAUUCCAAAUUUUCAAGUACAGCUCUUCAAGAACAGGAUCUCUGAAGGAACAACAAUUUACAAGCUUGGCGCUUACCAGGUUCAAUAUGCUAGGGAAAGAUACAAAACUGUAGAUUGUCCAUGGAGAGUAGUGUUUGCCCAAAAAACUACCGUGGAACCAAUUGUGCCUCAGCCACCAAACUUUCCCAAGUAUGGAUAUACCACCUACAAUGUACACAGUACCAAAGCUGCAUUAAACAAAUCGUUUUGUUGUCAGUUACCAGCAUCACAAGAAUAUUUGCGCCGAGCGGCGGAUCGAUUGACCAGAUAUGAGAAAAUCACAUCACAAAUAAUUCCCGCCGUUGUGAUGUUUUGGGGAAAAUUAGCAGAUGCCCUUGAUAGUUACAAGCUACAACGGUGGUCUGCUCAAGAACCCAUUAUAGUUCUAUUUGUUGGCAUGCCAGUACAUGAAUUUAAUGAAACUUGA
rnacentral:rRNA from 1 species